UACGUAGGUGGCAAGCGUUGUCCGGAUUUACUGGGCGUAAAGAGCGCGCAGGCGGUCGUUCAAGUCGCGUGUGAAAGCCCCCGGCUCAACUGGGGAGGGUCACGCGAUACUGAUCGACUCGAAGGCAGGAGAGGGUAGUGGAAUUCCCAGUGUAGCGGUGAAAUGCGUAGAUAUUGAGAGGAACACCGGUGGCGAAGGCGGCUACCUGGACCGGUUCUGACGCUGAUGCGCGAAAGCGUGGGUAGCAAACAGG
rnacentral:rRNA from 1 species